UACGGAGGGUGCAAGCAUUAAUCGGAUUUAUUGGGCGUAAAGGGCGCGUAGGCGGGAAAGAAAGUUAGAUGUGAAAGCCUGAGGCUUAACUUCAGAAUGGCAUCUAAAACUCCUUUUCUAGAGGAUGAGCGGGGAAAAUGGAAUUCCACAUGUAGCGGUGAAAUGCGUAGAUAUGUGGAGGAACACCGGUGGCGAAGGCGAUUUUCUAGCUUAGACCUGACGCUGAGGCGCGAAAGCAAGGGGAGCAAACAGG
rnacentral:rRNA from 1 species